GUGCCAGCCGCCGCGGUAAUACGUAGGUGGCAAGCGUUGUCCGGAAUUAUUGGGCGUAAAGCGCGCGCAGGUGGUUUCUUAAGUCUGAUGUGAAAGCCCACGGCUUAACCGUGGAGGGUCAUUGGAAACUGGGAGACUUGAGUGCAGAAGAGGAAAGUGGAAUUCCAAGUGUAGCGGUGAAAUGAGUAGAGAUGUCAAGAAACACAAGUGGCGAAGGCGACUUUCUGG
rnacentral:rRNA from 1 species